rnacentral:rRNA from 1 species
CCAAGGAGUCUAACAUGUGCGCGAGUCAUGGGGUAUUACGAAACCUAAAGGCGCAAUGAAAGUGAAGGCAGCCUCCGGUUUGCCUAGGUAGGAUCCUCCCUGUAACGGGGAGGCGCACUACCGGCCCGUCUCGUCCGCAUCGUCGGAGAGGCGGAGCAAGAGCGUACACGUUGGGACCCGAAAGAUGGUGAACUAUGCCUGAGUAGGACGAAGCCAGAGGAAACUCUGGUGGAGGUCCGUAGCGAUUCUGACGUGCAAAUCGAUCGUCAAACUUGGGUAUAGGGGCGAAAGACUAAUCGAACCAUCUA